AUACGUAGGGUGCGAGCGUUGUCCGGAAUUACUGGGCGUAAAGAGCUCGUAGGUGGUUUGUCGCGUCGUCUGUGAAAUUCCGGGGCUUAACUCCGGGCGUGCAGGCGAUACGGGCAUAACUUGAGUACUGUAGGGGAGACUGGAAUUCCUGGUGUAGCGGUGAAAUGCGCAGAUAUCAGGAGGGACACCGGUGGCGAAGGCGGGUCUCUGGGCAGUAACUGACGCUGAGGAGCGAAAGCAUGGGUAGCGAACAGGAUUAGAUACCCUGGUAGUCCAUGCCGUAAACGGUGGGCGCUAGGUGUAGGGGUCUUCCACGACUUCUGUGCCGUAGCUAACGCAUUAAGCGCCCCGCCUGGGGAGUACGGCCGCAAGGCUAAAACUCAAAUGAAUUGACGGGG
rnacentral:rRNA from 1 species